AAGUUAUAUACAAAAAUAAAGUUAAUAAUUAACUAAACUGUAGCACGUUCUAGUUAAUAUUAAAAUACAUAAUAAAAAUGACUUUAAUAUCACCGACUACACGAAAACUAAGACACAAACUGGGAUUAGAUACCCCACUAUGCUUAGUAAUAAACUAAAAUAAUUUAACAAACAAAAUUAUUCGCCAGAGAACUACUAGCAAUUGCUUAAAACUCAAAGGACUUGGCGGUGCCCUAAACCCACCUAGAGGAGCCUGUUCUAUAAUCGAUAAACCCCGAUAAACCAGACCUUAUCUUGCCAAUACAGCCUAUAUACCGCCAUCGUCAGCUAACCUUUAAAAAGAAUUACAGUAAGCAAAAUCAUACAACAUAAAAACGUUAGGUCAAGGUGUAGCAUAUGAUAAGGAAAGUAAUGGGCUACAUUCUCUACUAUAGAGCAUAACGAAUCAUAUUAUGAAACUAAAAUGCUUGAAGGAGGAUUUAGUAGUAAAUUAAGAAUA
rnacentral:rRNA from 1 species